rnacentral:rRNA from 1 species
CCUGGCGGCCAUAGCGCGGUGGUCCCACCUGACCCCAUGCCGAACUCAGAAGUGAAACGCCGUAGCGCCGAUGGUAGUGUGGGGUUUCCCCAUGCGAGAGUAGGGAACUGCCAGGC